UAAAGAAGCACGUAUUUAAACAACACAAGUAACAAGUCCAUUUUACGCACUCUGACAGCAAAAACAUAACCGAAGUUACCUCCUACUAAACGACACAUACAAAGUAAACGGUAGUUCCGGUAGUAUUGCAGGUGAGUACAGAUUAGGAUUACCACUUUACUCACUCGGUUAGGUAGACAUAGCCGAAAUUCCCUCGUCAGAAUAAAGUUAACGGUAGUUCCGCUAGUGCUGUUGCUGAGUAGAAAUAAGGACUACCACUUGGCUAAAACUGACAACAAAUACCAAGACUUUUACUAACGACCCCUUCCUCCUGGUAAGCAUUAAACCGGAGUUCCUGUACGAGACACGUCCAACGCUGGAAGGAAGGGAGGAGAAUGACCAAACGAAAAUCAUAAUAAUUUGACGUGCCGUGUCUUCUAAAAAAAACCAAUACGGAUCUGGACUUACAAAACCCCCACUACGUCGAUGUGACUGUCUACUUAUAAACAUCUCUUUACAGAACCUUUAACGUUCAUCUACCGAUGAGAUGUGACCGUCUACGAAUGAUUAAACAUUGUUAUUCUAGUUCAGCGUACAGUAUACAGCUAAGAGAAUGUCUAAUUUAACACUCGUAUAAGUCUAUGUAUACAGCCAGACCACUCGUAUAAUGUCAGAAGUGGUCUACGUAAACACAAAGCAUUUUUACGUAACUACGAUACACCUCUAAUGAGAACGUGACAAAAAGAUGAUAGAACAACAAAGAGACAAAAACGUAAAAUUCAAGGGUUUACGAAUCUAUCAAUUACGUCACAAAAUUCAAGUGUAAAAUUCAAAGAGACAAAAACGUAAAAUUUAAGUCUUACUGUGAAUACUAAGGGUCCCCUUCUUCGCCAAAGGUUUACUCCUUCCAAUCAAAUUAAACGGUUCUUUUAUUUAUAUCACCUGUAAUUAAACUAAUUACAUAGAGGGUUACAAUAAUCUUAUGUUGUGCUUCUUCAGUCUAAAACAGUUUCAUGUCCAGCCUCUCUUUUCACGGUCCUUCUUUUACCUUCAUCGUCGGUUUUAGACUGUUCUACGUUUCCGGGUAUAGCUCAUACAUGACGUCAGUUUCCCUAAGUCAAGUCAAUAAUUUUAAAGAACCGUAGAUUUAAUGAAUAGUUUACCAAAAAUGACUCAACCUCUUCUGGAACAACGAAGCUAAAAUAGGACGGUCGUUGUUUAACCUAACAAAUAAAAUAUACUUACGUAAUAAUAAGGGGAGAGUAGUCAACCUUCCG
rnacentral:rRNA from 1 species